GCCCAGGUGGCGGAACUGGUAGACGCACAGGACUUAAAAUCCUGCGGCUUCGGUCAUGCGGGUUCGAUUCCCGCCCUGGGCACCA
rnacentral:tRNA from 1 species